UUUUUUUUUUUUUUUUUUUGUGUUCUUAUAACAUUGCAGGAUGUACAAGGAUGGUAGCAUCAUUCCAUUAGAUGAUUCUUGGGGUUAUGCUGCAAAUUUUUCACACAUGCUGAGAUAUGAUAGUCCUCAGAUGAAAGAGCUUAUGAGGCUUUAUGUCACCAUCCACAGUAUCUGUGCCAGCCAACACUGCAGCCAAGCAAUGGCCCCUAUCUUGAAGGAGGCUCUGCCACGAUCCAAGGAGGCCUUUUAAGACUAUUGCGAGAAUAUCCGGUGAUGUGUACAUCCCUCGGGGGACCUUGAGACGAAGUGGAAUUGAUAAUGGUGCUGGUUGUUCCUGUUCUUGUAGUGUCACAACAUUGCUAUAGGGAUGUCUGAUUUAGCCUUAUUUUAUGAUGUUCUGUGAAGACUGUUCCAAGUACUCCAACUCUGCUGUUGUUGUGUACGUUGGUUGUGGAGAGAGAGGAAAUUAAAUGGUUGAGGAUAGAGAGCUAUUAGAACCAGUAGCUACAACACAAAGCAAGCACAGAGGUCAAUAACAAGUCAAAGAGGCUGAAAUGCCUGUCGACAGUAGAUAUCCUGCCUAUCCAGCAGCAUGUUUAUCAUCUUUCUAUGAACGUGCUGGUAAAUUAACAUGACUUGGUGGACCAGACCGUGAUGGAAGUGUUACAGUUGUUGGUGCAGUUUCACGUCCUGGAGGAGACUUUUCAGAUCCUGUGACUUCUGCAACCCUUAGUGUUGUGCAGCUUGUAGGAAAGGAUACGCUAAAAGAAAGGGAAGACUACCUUGCUCAAAGCGCGUUUACAGCAUAUGACAAAUUUUUCCCUUUCUGCAAGUCCGUGUGGAUGAUGCGUAACAUUUUCCAUUUCUAGAACCUAGCUAACCAGGCGGUUCAGAGAGUAGCUGGAAUGGACGGUCAAAAGAUUUCUUACACUCUCAUCAAGUACCCGCUUGGGAGAUCUUUUCUACCGUUCAGUGAUAUCAGGUUCCUUGCGUGGGUUUUACGGGAUCUUUGGCAACUUCUCGUCCAAAGCGUGGGGAUCGCAAGUUAUGCAACUUUUGCAUUUUAAUAUUUUUGUUCAUCUGUGUAAGUAAAAUUCCUUUUUAAUAGCCUUCAAUCGAGUUGUGAAGCUCUCUAAACCAGGUUUGCUUUUUACAUUUUUCCAUAUCAUUUGGUCACUUCACCAUCGUUGUUGCUUGCGAUGGGUUAUUCAUAUCAUUUGGUCACUUCACCAAGAGAAGGUUUACAUUUUUCCA